rnacentral:rRNA from 1 species
UACGGGGGGGGCAAGCGUUGUUCGGAAUUACUGGGCGUAAAGAGCUCGUAGGCGGUCUGUUGCGUCCGCUGUGAAAACUCGGGGCUUAACCCCGAGCCUGCAGUGGAUACGGGCAGACUAGAGGUAGGUAGGGGAGAAUGGAAUUCCCGGUGUAGCGGUGAAAUGCGCAGAUAUCGGGAGGAACACCGGUGGCGAAGGCGGUUCUCUGGGCCUUACCUGACGCUGAGACGCGAAAGCGUGGGGAGCGAACAGG